AGCGAACGCUGGCGGCAGGCUUAACACAUGCAAGUCGAACGCUCGUAGCAAUACGGGAGUGGCAGACGGGUGAGUAACGCGUGGGAAUAUGCCUUUUGGUUCGGAAUAACUCAGGGAAACUUGAGCUAAUACCGGAUAAGCCCGUGAGGGGAAAGAUUUAUCGCCAAAAGAUUAGCCCGCGUCUGAUUAGCUAGUUGGUGAGGUAAUGGCUCACCAAGGCGACGAUCGGUAGCUGGUCUGAGAGGAUGAUCAGCCACAUUGGGACUGAGACACGGCCCAAACUCCUACGGGAGGCAGCAGUGGGGAAUAUUGGACAAUGGGCGCAAGCCUGAUCCAGCCAUGCCGCGUGAGUGAUGAAGGCCUUAGGGUUGUAAAGCUCUUUUGUCCGGGAAGAUAAUGACGGUACCGGAAGAAUAAGCCCCGGCUAACUUCGUGCCAGCAGCCGCCGUAA
rnacentral:rRNA from 1 species